UAGGCCGAGGUGCUAAGGGCACACGGUGGAUGCCUUGGCGCCAGCAGGCGAUGAAGGGCGUGGUAAGCUGCGAAAAGCCCCGGCGAGGCGCAAACAGCUGAUGACCCGGGGAUGCCCGAAUGGGGAAACCCGGCAGGCAGAAAGCCUGUCAUCCGGCUUAUGCCGGAGGCGAGACCCCCCGAACUGAAACAUCUCAGUAGGGGGAGGAAAGGAAAUCAAACGAGACUCCCUGAGUAGCGGCGAGCGAAAGGGGAUCAGCCCAAACCGGAUGGGUGUCAAAGCCCGCAGGCGUUGCCCAUCUGGGGUAGCGGGACGUACCUGGAGGAGGCUGCGGACUCCUCGGGGAGUUACAAAAGGUUCGGGUAGCCGAAUGGUCUGGAAAGGCCAGCCGUAGAGGGUGAUAGCCCCGUAGGCGAAACUCGAACCUCUCCCUGGGGUACGAUCCCAAGUACCGCGGGACACGAGGAAUCCUGCGGGAAUCAGGGGGGACCACCCUCCAAGGCUAAGUACUCGCUGGCGACCGAUAGCGCAUAGUACCGUGAGGGAAAGGUGAAAAGAACCCCGGGUAGGGGAGUGAAAUAGAACCUGAAACCGUGUGCCUACAAGCGGUCGGAGGGGAGCUUUGCUCCCUGACGGCGUACCUUUUGCGUAAUGGGCCAGGGAGUUACUCUCGGCGGCGAGGCUAAGCCGAAAGGCGGAGCCGUAGGGAAACCGAGUCCGAAUAGGGCGCUUAGUCGCCGGGAGUAGACCCGAAACCGUACGAUCUACCCAUGGCCAGGUUGAAGUCCGGGUAACACCGGAUGGAGGACCGAACCCACCAGUGCUGAAAAACUGGGGGAUGAGCUGUGGGUAGGAGUGAAAAGCUAAUCGAGUACGGAGAUAGCUGGUUCUCCCCGAAAUAGCUUUAAGGCUAGCCUCACGGAUGAGUCUGCCGGAGGUAGAGCUACUGGUGGGGCUAGGGCCCCGAAAGGGGUACCGAACCCCGCCAAACUCCGAAUGCCGGCAGAUGCUCCGUGGGAGUCAGUCUGCGGGGGAUAAGCUCCGUGGACGAGAGGGAAACAGCCCAGACCGCCAGCUAAGGUCCCCAAGUGGUGGCUAAGUGGUAAAGGAAGUGCGCUCGCUAAGACAGCCAGGAGGUUGGCUUAGAGGCAGCCAUCCUUUAAAGAGUGCGUAACAGCUCACUGGUCGAGCGAGCGUGCGCCGAAAAUGUAGCGGGGCUCAAGCCACCCACCGAAGCUGCGGGUUCGCCAUUUGGCGAGCGGUAGGGGAGCGUUCCCUGCGGGUUGAAGUCGCACCGAAAGGUGCGGUGGACUGCAGGGAAGUGAAAAUCCUGGCAUGAGUAGGCGAUAAGGAAGGUGAGAAGCCUUCCCGCCGAAAGCCCAAGGUUUCCAGGGGAAGGCAAGUCCGCCCUGGGUUAGCCGGCCCCUAAGGCGAGGCCGAAAGGCGUAGCCGAUGGGAAGCGGGUCAACAUUCCCGCGCCACUCCGGUGGAGCGAUGGGGGUGACGCAGGAGGAUAGCCCAUCCCGGGCGUUGGUCGUCCCGGGCCAAGGUAGUAGGGGGAGGGCGUAGGCAAAUCCGCGCCCUCGUUAACCCCGAGAACUGAUGGGGAGGCUCCUUUGGGAGCCGAAGUGGGUGACUCCACACUGCCAAGAAAGAACCCCUAAGCUGUGAAGCCGGAGUGACCGUACCGCAAACCGACACAGGUGGGCGGGUGUAAAAGCACCAAGGCGUUCGGGGGAACCCUCCGUAAGGAACUCGGCAAAUUGACCCCGUAACUGCGGGAGAAGGGGUGCCCUGGAGGGUCUAGGGACUUGCUCCCGAAGCUCUCCGGGGCCGCAGAGAAUAGGCGGUGGCGACUGUUUACCAAAAACACAGGUCUCCGCAAACUCGUAAGAGGAUGUAUGGGGACUGCAACCUGCCCAGUGCCGGAAGGUUAAGGGGAGGGGUGCAAGCCCCGAACCGAAGCCCCGGUAAACGGCGGCCGUAACUAUAACGGUCCUAAGGUAGCGAAAUUCCUUGUCGGGUAAGUUCCGACCUGCAUGAAUGGUCCAACGACUGCCGCACUGUCUCGCGGAGGGUCCCGGCGAAAUUGUAGUCAGGGUGAAGAUGCCCUGUACCCGUGGCAGGACGGAAAGACCCCGUGAAGCUUUACUGCAGCCUGGCAUUGUGUCUUGGUCUGGCCUGCGCAGGAUAGGUGGGAGCCUGGGAAGCCCCCGCUCCGGCGGGGGUGGAGGCGCCGGUGAGAUACCACCCUGGUCAGGCUGAGGCACUAACCUAGGGCACUGAACCGUGCCCGGGGACAGUGUCAGGUGGGCAGUUUGACUGGGGCGGUCGCCUCCUAAAAGGUAACGGAGGCGCCCAAAGGUCCCCUCAGCGCGGUCGGCAAUCGCGCGUAGAGUGCAAGGGCAUAAGGGGGCUUGACUGCGAGACCGACAGGUCGAGCAGGUGGGAAACCAGGGCCUAGUGACCCGGUGGUCCCGAGUGGAAGGGCCAUCGAUCAACGGAUAAAAGCUACUCCGGGGAUAACAGGCUGAUCGGUCCCGAGAGCUCACAUCGACGGACCGGUUUGGCACCUCGAUGUCGGCUCGUCCCAUCCUGGGGCUGAAGCAGGUCCCAAGGGUUGGGCUGUUCGCCCAUUAAAGGGGCACGCGAGCUGGGUUCAGAACGUCGUGAGACAGUUCGGUCCCUAUCCGCCACGGGCGUAGGAGGCUUGAGGGGAGCUGCUCCUAGUACGAGAGGACCGGAGUGGGGACACCUCUGGUGUACCAGCUGUGGUGCCAGCCGCACCGCUGGGUAGCCAUGUGUCCACGGGAUAACCGCUGAAGGCAUCUAAGCGGGAAGCCCACCCCAAGAUUAGGCCUCCCUCGGCUUUAAGCCGGUAAGGCCCCUGGGAGACUACCAGGUUGAUAGGCCGCAGGUGGAAGCCCGGUAACGGGUGGAGCUGAGCGGUACUAAUCGGCCGAGAGCCUCGGCCUU
rnacentral:rRNA from 1 species